rnacentral:rRNA from 1 species
GUCAAAUCAUCAUGCCCCUUAUGUCUUGGGCUUCACGCAUGCUACAAUGGCCGGUACAAAGGGCUGCAAUACCGCAAGGUGGAGCGAAUCCCAAAAAGCCGGUCUCAGUUCGGAUUGAGGUCUGCAACUCGACCUCAUGAAGUCGGAGUCGCUAGUAAUCGCAGAUCAGCAACGCUGCGGUGAAUACGUUCCCGGGCCUU